AAAAAAAAAACUCUUGAUAUACAAUAUGGUCAGGGUCUGUCACAGGUGUUAUUUUCUUCUUAACCGCGAGACUUCUCUAGAGUAAAACGGUAGAUUGAUUAAUAUUCUGAACAUGCGUCUGCAUUUUAUUUUGGAAUUUGGUCUGUUAUGAUAAGGGGCCAUGGAUCCUCAUUCUGUCUUGGUGGUAGUCGCUAACAUUAUGGUAGAGAAUCGUGUUAUAUGCUGGUUCCAGACAUUGAUGCAGAUUCUGCUAUUUGUCGAAUCGUCUGCAUGCGCAAACCGAGUACGUAGCAUUGACUGAGAGAGCCCAUAUGCCUGAUGGGGAUAGAUUCGCCAUUUACUGAAACGGUUUAAUGUCUGUGGAUGGCUUUUGUACAAAGGAACAGCUGCAAUGGGAUGGGUCUAUUUUCAAAUUGGACUUCUACUUUGUCUUUCCUCUGCUGUGUUGUCUUCUUGCCUCUUUAUCGUGGUAUGGCUGCUAGGUAUUGUGACGUUGUGGCUUGAUCCCUGUGGGUCGAGCCAUCAUAAUUUAGUUGCUUGCCUUGCCUCAUUAGGAAUUCUUGAAGUCAGAUAUGAUGAGGCAACGCCUGAUGGUGGGAGAGAGAAGCUUAGGGGAGAGACCCAACACUCUAUGGAUAACUUAGUUUCAGACGAUACCAAAUUGUUAGAUCCAAUCAUUCAAGAUUUUUUUGGGGCUAGGUCUUCGAGCGCAACAAAUUUUCUCCCUGCCCUAUCAUUUUCACCAUUUAUCAACCUUCAGUCGGAUGCCAAAUCCUCAUACUCUUUCUCUCUAAAAUGGUUCGUUGAUCACAUUUUUUUCCUUUGUCAUUACAAUGAUUUAAAAAUUAAUAGUGCCACGUGAUUUCCAAAUUAUGGCUGCCGAAAUAACGAGAGUUGUCAAUGAGCCUGGCAUUUCUGAUAAAAUUUUAAGCAUCUUAGAUAAUGCCUCCGUUAAUGCAUUCCUAAUGCAGAGUUUGAUCCAAUGGCUCAGUCUUGUUAGCAAUGGGAAUUUUCUCCACCUACGCCGCUGCAUUUAUCUGUUCAUGGAAGGCAAGUUGAAAAUAUCACCUUACACAAAAAAAGACGAGGUGAAUUCCACGUAUAAGAUGUUAUAGAAGGCAGGCAAGGAGAUGGAGACGCUAAAGCUGGACUCCACCACUCAUAUCAUAGAUUUUGCUGUUGACAAGACAAGAUUGGAGGGUUGCUUCAGGGAUUUCUUGCUAGUUUUCAAUGAUGCAACGGCCCACGGGUGCGUUGUUGUUCGAAAAUUAUCCAUCAAGCAACCACGUUGUUCAUUUCUGUACAUAACAUUAGUAAAUUGGUGAACAAAGAGAAUGAUUCCUUUUU